UGGGGCGUGGCCAAGCUGGUAAGGCGCCUGACUCUGGAUCAGGUAAUCCUAGGUUCGAAUCCUAGCGCCCCAGCCA
rnacentral:tRNA from 2 species